UACGAAGGGGACUAGCGUUGUUCGGAAUCACUGGGCGUAAAGCGCACGUAGGCGGAUGUGUCAGUCAGGGGUGAAAUCCCGGGGCUCAACCUCGGAACUGCCUUUGAUACAGCACGUCUCGAGUCCGGAAGAGGUGGGUGGAAUUCCUAGUGUAGAGGUGAAAUUCGUAGAUAUUAGGAAGAACACCGGUGGCGAAGGCGGCCCACUGGUCCGGUACUGACGGCUGAUGCACGAAAGCUAGGGGAGACAAACAGGAGUUAG
rnacentral:rRNA from 1 species